CCACCAAAAAUGGAGCCCCCAUGCAGCAGCGGUUCCAUUUUGCCGCUGCGUGAUUUACCUCAUCGCCAGAAAACUUGACACCAUGCCAUGCUCUUGAACGCUACAUGGAAGAAACUCCGGUGUGCUCGAACCUAUAUCAACACCCCACAGAUUGUUGUCGUCUUCGCUGCUGUACAGUGAGUGUGGAAUUGGCGCUGCUCUGAUGAUCGCAGACCCUGUCAUCACCCAUAGUCGAUGUCGGCCACCGUCAACUUCAUCUCCUGCUACAACUAACCCUGAUCAAUGCUGCUGCCGGUUACCGUUCACAUUCCCAGUGAUCCAGGCCUCCAGUCAUCAAACCCUUUGAUCAUGAUAUAGCCCUUGAUGUUGUACACACCUCUGUAAAUCAGUUUGGUCAUAGGACCAGCGAUACCGGAGUUAUUGAUAUCAUCAUGCUUGCUGCUCCUGCAUCCUUGCAGCAGCAUUGUUUCCGAUUGGCAUGCAUGUUCCAUAAGAUCCUUUCCUCCAAUCAUCAAAUCCUUUGAAAAUGAUAUUCGUCAUGAAGUUGAACAUGUCCUUGCCAAAUUUCAUCACCAUAGAGCCUAACACAAAAGAGUUAUAAAUGUUCUUGUGCAUGAUGUCCCUGCUGCCCCGCAUUAGCAUUCCUGUUGGUUGGCAUAUGCAUUCCCAUUGAACCAUCGCUCCAGUGACCGUGUCCUUCAACCAUAGUGUGUUUUGUACCUUUGCACACACCCCUGAGAAAUUCCAUGGUAAUAGAAUUCAAGAUGAAAGAGAUAUCAUUGUCUUUUCGGUUUUCUGUUGUCUCUGCUAUUUCAGCAGUGUUGCGCCUCUGUUUGGUAGUGAUGUUCCCCAUAAUACAUUAGUAAAAUCAUCAAACCAUUCAUACAGCA